UACGAAGGGGGCUAGCGUUGCUCGGAAUCACUGGGCGUAAAGGGCGCGUAGGCGGCGUUUUAAGUCGGGGGUGAAAGCCUGUGGCUCAACCACAGAAUGGCCUUCGAUACUGGGACGCUUGAGUAUGGUAGAGGUUGGUGGAACUGCGAGUGUAGAGGUGAAAUUCGUAGAUAUUCGCAAGAACACCGGUGGCGAACGGCGGCCAACUGGACCAUUACUGACGCUGAGGCGCGAAAGCG
rnacentral:rRNA from 1 species